GUGAAGAAAUAUCCGGCUCCAUUAACGUUGACGUCAUUAAUGUGCCUAUUUGCAACUUUACUGGGAGCCAUCUUUACAGCAAUUAUUGAUCGUGAAGCCUCAUCUUGGAGAUUGUCUUGGGACAUUACCCUUCUUGCCCCUCUCUAUUCUGUGAGUAUAUUCGUAUAUAACAAUAAAUUAUAUUUUUAUUUACAAAAAAAAAAAAGGAAUUUAAAAUUAGAAGAGAGUCGUUUGAAAAGUUUAAUCAUGGAAUUGCAGGGAAUUCUUGUGUUUGGGGUAACAAUUUACCUUCAAACUUUGGCAGUACGAAUGAAAGGACCAGUUUUUAUUACAGCCUUCGGACCUUUAUCUACAUUA
rnacentral:lncRNA from 1 species